GUCCACGCCGUAAACGAUGGAUACUAGCUGUUCGGAGCAAUCUGAGUGGCUAAGCGAAAGUGAUAAGUAUCCCACCUGGGGAGUACGUUCGCAAGAAUGAAACUCAAAGGAAUUGACGGGGGCCCGCACAAGCGGUGGAGCAUGUGGUUUAAUUCGAUGAUACGCGAGGAACCUUACCAAAGGCUUAAAAUGGGAAACGACAGGUUUGGAAACAGAUUUUUCUUCGGACGUUUUUCAAGGUGCUGCAUGGUUGUCGU
rnacentral:rRNA from 1 species